rnacentral:lncRNA from 1 species
UGAUGGUCAUGAAUGUUGACAUGAAUGAUGGUCAUGAAUGUUUAUGUAUGAUUGUCAUGAGUGAUGCUCAUGAAUGUUUAUGUAUGAAUGACAUGAGUAGUGCUCAUGUAUAAUUUGGAGUACUAGGCAUACUUUUGAUCACCUGGUUGGUGGCAUGAAGGAGAGUACGGGUUGUACAUUUCAUCACCUGGUUGAUGGCAUGAAUGGCUAGUUGCCAAAUUAGAGUACGAGUUGUACAUCUCAUCACCUGGUUGGUGGCAUGAAUGGCUAGUUGCCAAAUGAUAUUAGAGUACGAGUUGUACAUUUCAUCACCUGGUUGGUGGUAAUAGGGGCGGGUUGCCGAAUAAUUAUGGAGUACUGGGCGUACUUUUGGUCACCUGGUUGGUGAUAAUAGUGGCAUGUUGUUGAAUAAUUGUUGACUACUGGGCGUACUUUUGAUCGCCCGGUUAGAGCUGUUUUGGGCUUUAUGGGCCUUCGCCCUCUACACAACAUUCCAGCCCAUUUAUUUUGGGCUUUGCUGG